CCUGACAUGGGGCUUGAACUUGUGAACCACAAGAUCAUGACCUGAGCCCAAGUCAAAGGCUUAACUGACUGAGCCACCCAGAGGCCCCAAAGGUAGAGACUUUUAAACAGGCUUUUCUACAUGUUGCCAAUUUUUUCUCCAGGAAGGUUCCACCAAUUUAAACUCCCAUCCAAAGUGCAUGCAUGUGCCUCCCUCCCCAAAACCUCACCAGGACUUGGCAUCAUCAGUAUCAGUCUUCUUGAUCAUUCCCAUUCUGACAUCUGGUUCUUCUUUUGAAGCCUGGGCUCCAUCACCAGUAGCUUGACCUUUUUCAAGGUCAAGCAGGCAUGGAUGGCACUUUAUUAUUUAAAGAGCUAGCUUCCCAAGGGGACACAUCAACUUUCUUCAUAAGCCAGUAUCUGUUCAUCCUGGUUUUCAAGGUUGAACGAAAUUUCCCUUUAAACGUGUGCCUGGAUUUCUGAGUUUUACUGGCAAGGAUAGAUUGGGCCUGUUUCAAAGCUGAGUAAAAUUAAUGGCCAAGUGAAGGAUCGUCUGUGGCCAGGGCUGACCUAAACUGGAAAAUCAUUGUCAGGACACCGCUCAACUGCACGUAGGUCACCGUCCCUCUGAUUUAUCUUAGAACUUGAGGUAAACAACGUAUUUCUGUUCUUGAAAAAUCUGUCUCUUGUUCAAUCAUGCUAUUUGUUUUAAGGGGUUUAAAUUUUUUUGGUGAAUAAUGAAACGUCUCACUUAGAGCUAACAAUAUUAACACGCUUCAUCAGAUUUUUUUACUGAAGUAGUGAGAUAAUUACAGAAAUUAUGACAUUUAAUUUCCUAGAAAUAAUUUAACCUUAUAAUUUGUGUGUUUUUUUCAUUUCAGAAUAUUACUUCCAUAAAUACACACACACACACACACACACACACACACACAUACCACCACACACUAAAUAAUUUUUUUCCCUCCAGGACUCACUGUCCUCUCAAGAGUUAAUUUUCUGUGCCUUAUUUAAAAAAUGGUCAAAACAGAGCUCCUGGCUUUGUCCUGCCAGCUCCUGAGUUGGAGAAGACAUUCGUCAGCUUGCACUUGCUCUUGUGUCAGUCGAGGGUGAAGUCCAGCCCAGGGCUCCACGUGGAUCCUCAUGUGACCCAGGUGUCUCUUUUUAGGCUGAUUUUUGGAAAGAAGUUACAAGUGUUACUCAACCUAUGUGCGCAUUUUAUGGAGUUCUUUAUAAAAGAUAAAGUUAUAAAUGUGACUUUGCCCGUCCUAAGGCAAGUUUACCGGAUGACUUCUAGGACCCGUGAAUGCGGAGAAGGGUGGUUCCAGAAAGAUGGGCUGGCUGCAAGCGAUGGCUGAAGGAGGAUAGAUGAUGACAGUGUAAGUAUCGGCCAAGAUACUUGAUGUGUUGGACGAAGACCCAGACAAACACAUUCUGACGAGAUGUUCUCCAUUCCAGCUGGUCCUCAGAGGGCUUCAGGUUUAUGCUGCACUGAGGAGUAAAGGUUAAUUUAUCUGGCGCUUCCCCCUGGAAGGCCUCCCAGGGUGAGGCUGGCUUCCUGCAGGGUGGGGCUGCUUGGCAAGCAUCCUGAGAAAGUACUGAGGUGGAGGGGCAUGAUGGGAGGCCAAGGCUCCAUACAUCGGACACCUGGAACUGCGAGAUUUGCACCUGAGCUCCUGUUCACACCAGGGAGGGUCUGGUCACGCUGCAAACAGGAAUGCUGAGAAGCCUUGACGGCGGAAGUCCAAGGCUUGGACCACAGGCCCUCGUCAUACCAGAGCUGAUGCCUACUUUCCUGCGUGCGGUUUAUUCGUCCAGAGUUUAGAUGGCGGUCUCGCCAGAUCACUGUGCGCUGUCUCAGACAGCAACUGGCCAAGAAGGGAUCUCAUACCUCCUCCUCUUCCUGCUUCUGUAAGUUUCUCUGAAUAAAUGCUAUUCUGGG